rnacentral:lncRNA from 1 species
AUGCAUUCAAAGCAUUAAUCAUAUGCAUUUAUCUAGCAUUUCUAUAGUAUGUUAACAUGCAUUUUUUUCACAUUCUUAUAUUAUGUCAAUAUGCAUCAAUAUGAAAUCUCAUUUCUCUUAGACAUACAGGCGACCUAGUCGCUUCGGUAAGCACAACCCACCUCAUUUCGCAUUCCGAUUGCUUGUCGACACUUGCAAUCGGCCUCCCGCGGCACCCGGCACUCUGUUUGGCCCGAUCUCUCACACGACCACCCGAACGGCCUCCAAUCCACGAUCCGAAAAUUAAAGGUCUUCGGUUAUGUGCCACGAUGCUUCAAAUCCGUUUUCAUGGGUUUACGAUGUCGCCUCGGCCCUCCAGGCGGAAACGAAGCCUAAACGUCCGUUUCUUUAAUAACUUCGCAACGGCUUGACGAAUCGCCGAACCGUCUUCGCCCACGCGUUCGUUUACCUAGCAAUUAGGUUUACAGAGGGUCAAAUGAGAUCAAUCCCUCAUAUUUACCAAAUUAGUAUUUUUGAGCCCUAGAUGCCAUUAACCUCCAAAUAAUCUAAAUUAAAUGUAGCAACAUGCUAACAAAACUCAUUAGAGGCUAUUAGAACACUUAAUGUGAAGGAUUAAGCCAAAUC